CUCGACUUCGCAGCCACGCACACGAAUGGCCUCUACGAGAAGUCCACGCGAAGUUCCUGAAGAGAUCCAAUCCUGCGGAAGUGCUAGCUUGCGCAGAAUUUCUUGAGGCUGAAAUUUGAUCUUCCAAACGCUAUCAACUUUUGAUCCGCCUUCUUGGAAGAACUUGGAGGAAAGGUUUAAAGGGAUUGAAGAGGACUUAGAUCUGAUCUAAAGACUCUUAUCAGGGACCCCUAACACUAAUGGCGCGAUGGACUUAGAGGAGGAAGAAGUCAGCUAGAUUGAAUGCAGAAUUUUUCCAUGCAUGAACUAGUGUUCCUCUCUUUUCUUUUCCCUUUUUUC
rnacentral:lncRNA from 1 species